GACGAACGCUGGCGGCGUGCUUAACACAUGCAAGUCGAACGGUGACGAGGAGCUUGCUCCUCUGAUCAGUGGCGAACGGGUGAGUAACACGUGAGCAACCUGCCCCAGACUCUGGGAUAACAGUUGGAAACAGCUGCUAAUACCGGAUACGAGACGGAGAGGCAUCUCUACCGUCUGGAAAGUUUUUCGGUCUGGGAUGGACUCGCGGCCUAUCAGCUAGUUGGUGAGGUAAUGGCUCACCAAGGCGACGACGGGUAGCCGGCCUGAGAGGGCGACCGGCCACACUGGGACUGAGACACGGCCCAGACUCCUACGGGAGGCAGCAGUGGGGAAUUUUGGACAAUGGGCGAAAGCCUGAUCCAGCCAUUCCGCGUGAGUGAAGAAGGCCUUCGGUUGGUAAAGGACUCUUUCGGCAGGAACGAAACGACGUUCUAUAAGACGACGUAA
rnacentral:rRNA from 1 species